GUGGGUGGCUAUAAUGGCAGCCUGUAGGUUUGUAUGGAAAACAAGUAUGGCACUGUGAAAAAAUCCUUCUCUCACCCUACAGAUACCUGUACGGAGAACUUGGGAGGCAUUUUUAUAAGCUCAUUGUCAAGUGAAUGUUAAAGUCCCCAUUCACUGAGAAGCAAAGGGUGAAGAAGUGAGACCCUACAUGGCUUUUUAGUGCAUUGAUGGAGCAGAGACACGUCUAUGAACAACUGCCUAUGCAAACUGAUUACUCGGCAGUAUAAUUUAUCAGUUUGUAUGAGUAAGUGAGUGCUUCUCACUAUGGAUUUAGCUUGCACUUCAAUUUAGUUCCAUUAUCUUGCUUUGGAUUUAUGGAAAUUCUGAACAGUGAUGUGAGAGUGACUACAGUUUGAAGUAUCUGUUAAAUACAGCAACAUGACAUCACAAGGAUUGUUUUGGAGUCUUCUGGAUAUGAGAACAUUAUAAAAGGAAAUGGCUCACAUAUUAUGGUGGCUAAGAAGUCCUACGAUCUGCUGUCUUCAAACUGGAGAACCAUAAAUGUCAAUGGUGUAAUUCAGUCUGAAUCUGAAGGCCUAAGAACCAAGAGAAAUGAUGGUAUAAUUCCUGGUCUGAAUCCAAAAGCAGGAGAAGAUGUCCCAGUUCAAGCAGAAGGAAUAAAUUCAUUCUUUAUCUUCCUUCUUGUUCUAUUUGUGUCUUCCAUGGACUGGAUGUUGACUGUCCACAUUGAUUUUCCAUACAAGAAAAAUUAAAAGAAGUUCUUCAGAGAGAGGGAGUAUGAUAUACGUCAGAAACUUCGGACUACAUAAAGAAAGAGCAUUAGAAAAAAAAUAAGUAAAGGAAGGAGGAAGCUGAAGCCAUGCACUUGGAAGUGGUGGGAUGAUUACUUGAGUCUGGAGCUGUUUGACAUUACAGUCUCUACUUUUAACUACAAUACCAGAUGGCCUCUCAAUUGAUACCCAUUUUUUAAAAAUCUGAGUUAUUGCCUGUAGCAAUACAUAACAACAAUAGCUGCAAGAUUUCUGAGUUAUUCAGAAAGAUUUUUCAUUCUGUUUAUAUCAGAGAUGAGACUAGAGUUUAUCAUUUUUGGUCUUCUAAUUUGUGAACAGCUCUACAGGUAUUAGGUGGACAACACCUAAAUAAAUUGAAUUGCAACUCAUAACUGACAUACUCUGAUUGAAAUAUAUGUUCAGUAAAAACGAACAUGAUUAAAACUUACAUGAAAAUAUUA
ensembl:lncRNA novel transcript